rnacentral:misc_RNA from 1 species
GAUGAAGAACGCAGCGAAAUGCGAUAAGUAAUGUGAAUUGCAGAAUUCAGUGAAUUAUCGAAUCUUUGAACGCACAUUGCGCCCCUUGGUAUUCCGAGGGGCAUGCCUGUUCGAGCGUCAUUAUAACCCCUCAAGCUCAGCUUGGUGUUGGGGCCUGCUGCACUGGCAGCCCUUAAAAUCAGUGGCGGUGCCAUCUGGCUCUAAGCGUAGUAAUUCUUCUCGCUAUGGAGUCCUGGUGGAUGCUUGCCAUCAACCCCCAAUUUUUCUAUGGUUGACCUCGGAUCAGGUAGGGAUACCCGCUGAACUUAAGCAUAUCAAUAAGCGGAGGA